rnacentral:rRNA from 1 species
UACGUAGGAGGCGAGCGUUGUCCGGAUUUACUGGGCGUAAAGCGCGCGCAGGCGGCACUUCAAGUAAGGUGUGAAAUCUCCCUGCUCAACGGGGAGGGUGCACUUUAGACUGAGGAGCUAGAGGACGGUAGAGGGGGGUGGAAUUGCUGGUGUAGCGGUGAAAUGCGCAGAUAUCAGGAAGAACACCCGUGGCGAAGGCGGCUCUCUGGGACGGUACUGACGCUGAGGUGCGAAAGCGUGGGGAGCAAACAGG